GACGAACGCUGGCGGCGUGCCUAAUACAUGCAAGUCGAACGCAGUGGGGACGGGUGAGUAACCCGUGGGUAACCUCCCAUCACAGGGGAUAACACUUGGAAACCGGUGCUAAACCGAUACUGAUGGAUGGACCCGCGGUGCAUUAGCUAGUUGGUGUGGUAACGGCUCACCAAGGCCACGAUCCAUAGCCGGUCUGAGAGGGUGAGCGGCCACACUGGGACUGAGACACGGCCCAGACUCCUACGGGAGGCAGCAGUAGGGAAUCUUGCGCAAUGGGCGAAAGUCUGACCGAGCCACGCCGCGUGAGUGAAGAAGGUCUUCGGAUCGUAAAGCACUGUUGUUAGAGAAGCGUUACCUGAACAGGAAGCCACGGCUAACUACGUGCCAGCAGCCGCGGUAAUUC
rnacentral:rRNA from 1 species